ACAUAUGCUCUUUACCCGAUCUCCUUCUCGCAGCGGCGGCUGAAUCCUUCUCCAGCGGUGGCGGAAUCCUUCUCCUGCAGCGGCGCAGGUCUCGCUCGGUGUAGUUGGAGACACUCGUAUCAUAAAGCACUUUUGUAGAUCUUCCCCGUGGUCAUUAGAGGUGACAUCUAAUAUUUUUUUUCCCCUCUUGUUCUACAAGCUAUUUGAAGAAAAAUGUUCCGCUCUAAGUCAGAUUCCUCCGCGUGACGAUGAUGAUGAUGGCGACGAUGAUAACGAUGAUGCUGGAUUGGUGAGGCGAAAUAUGUAUCGGAGAAAAAAGAAGAGAAGAGUUGAUGGAGAUGAAAGCUUUUGUGGAGAAAGAAGAUGAGUUGAUGUAUCUUAGUUUUUUUUAAAAUUUAACUCCUUGUUUAACUUCUUGGAUUAUUAGACUUUAUAAAUAUUUGAGUGUUGAACUUGUAUAAUAUUUUGGAGUCGUUUGAAGAAGAUGUUGAGAACUUUGAAUUUGUUGUAUUGUGAUUUGAUUUCAAUUAUUAA